ensembl:rRNA 5S_rRNA 5S ribosomal RNA
GUCUAUGGCCAUACCACCCUGAAAGCGCCCGAUCUCGUCUCAUCUCGGAAGCUAAGCAGGGUCGAGCCAGGUUAGUACUUGGAUGGGAGUCCUUCUUUACAUCCAGUCAACAAAAGAAC